rfam:Gossypium raimondii chromosome 1, whole genome shotgun sequence.
AAACCAUGCAUCAGGUAUUUUCUAAUUAACUCCUUGCAUCACUCCCAUGCUUCAUAUAAUGUUUCAUCAUCAGAUUACAAAAAAGACGUAAUAUCGUUCCUCAGUUU